CUCACCACCGCCGCUGCAACCCAUCCCAACUCAUGUCUUGCUUUUAUUAGAUUUUAAACAUAUUUUCGCAUCUCUCUUUCCUUGAUCUGGGUUGGGGUUUCCUUUCAUCAUUUUCUGAGAAAAUCAAAUGGCCUCUCCACCCACUAGCGCUCAACAAGCUCCUCUUCUUUGGUGACUGCGAAAGUGGUAUCAAAGAGCUUUUCCACAAAUUCAAGAGCAGAGUCAACCACACCUCCCAAAUCACUAUUGUUGGAGCCAAUGUUUACCUCUUUGAAACUCUCGACUAUGAGUCAUAUCUGAUGUCGGACAAUUUAGCGGGUGAAAGAUUUCAAAAUGUUGAAAAGUUGCUGAAAUCAUUUGAAGACCAUCAUUUGA